rnacentral:rRNA from 1 species
ACUCCUACGGGAGGCAGCAGUGAGGAAUAUUGGUCAAUGGAGGCAACUCUGAACCAGCCAUGCCGCGUGCAGGAAGACUGCCCUAUGGGUUGUAAACUGCUUUUAUUACGGGAAGAAACGCAGCUACGUGUAGUUGUUUGACGGUACCGUAAGAAUAAGCACCGGCUAACUCCGUGCCAGCAGCCGCGGUAAUACGGAGGGGUGCAAGCGUUAUCCGGAAUCAUUGGGUUUAAAGGGUCCGCAGGCGGUCAAUUAAGUCAGAGGUGAAAUCCUACAGCUUAACUGUAGAACUGCCUUUGAUACUGGUUGACUUGAGUCAUAUGGAAGUAGAUAGAAUGUGUAGUGUAGCGGUGAAAUGCAUAGAUAUUACACAGAAUACCGAUUGCGAAGGCAGUCUACUACGUAUGUACUGACGCUCAUGGACGAAAGCGUGGGGAGCGAACAGGAUUAGAUACCCUGGUAGGAUAGCG